UUAAAGAGUUCUAUAACUCCCAAACCCAUGUGAACAAUACCUUACGUUGCCUCGGCAGGUCGCGCUCACCCUGUAAGACCUACUACCCUGUAGGACCUACCCGGGUGGCGCGGGUAAGCCUGCCGGCGGCCUACCAAACUCUGUUUAAUAUUGAACUCUGAACAUAUAACUAAAUAAGUUAAAACUUUCAACAACGGAUCUCUUGGUUCUGGCAUCGAUGAAGAACGCAGCGAAAUGCGAUAAGUAAUGUGAAUUGCAGAAUUCAGUGAAUCAUCGAAUCUUUGAACGCAUAUUGCGCCCAUUAGUAUUCUAGUGGGCAGGACCGUUCGAGCGUCAUUUCAACCCUUAAGCCUCUGUUGCUUAGCGUUGGGAGCCUACGGUAACGUAGCUCCUCAAAGUUAGUGGCGGAGUUGGUUCACACUCUAGACGUAGUAAUUCUUAUCUCGCCUAACAGUUGGACCGGCCCCCGCCGUAAAACCACCCAAUUUAUCAAGGUUGACCUCGAAUCGGUUCUGAAAAUCCACUGAACUUAAGCAUAUCAAUAAGUGGAAGAAAAGAAACCAACAGGGAUUGCCCUAGUAACGGCGAGUGAAGCGGCAACAGCUCAAAUUUGAAAUCUGGCCUUAGGGUCCGAGUUGUAAUUUGUAGAGGAUGCUUUUGGCGCGGUGCCUUCCGAGUUCCCUGGAACGGGACGCCUUAGAGGGUGAGAGCCCCGUACGGUUGGACACCAAGCCUCUGUAAAGCUCCUUCGACGAGUCGAGUAGUUUGGGAAUGCUGCUCUAAAUGGGAGGUAAAUUUCUUCUAAAGCUAAAUAUUGGCCAGAGACCGAUAGCGCACAAGUAGAGUGAUCGAAAGAUGAAAAGCACUUUGAAAAGAGGGUUAAAUAGCACGUGAAAUUGUUGAAAGGGAAGCGUUUGCGACCAGACCUUUUCCUGGCGGAUCAUCCGGUGUUCUCACCGGUGCACUUCGCCAGGUCUAGGCCAGCAUCGGUUUCUGUAGGGGGAUAAAAGCUCUGGGAACGUAGCUCCUCCGGGAGUGUUAUAGCCCUCUGCAUAAUACCCUUGCGGGGACCGAGGACCGCGCU
rnacentral:rRNA from 1 species